GUGAUGUUACGUGCUGUGCCGAGGCUUCGGAGCGUGUGUCGAGUUACCCAGGAAGUUUUCCGCGAUGCGUGUAUCGAGGCUUGUAUCGUUUUAGACCAAUGACGUCAUUGAUGACGUCCGAAGCCUCGCUGCCCGGCCAUAUCACUGACCUUUGUGCUUCA